rnacentral:lncRNA from 1 species
GAACCAUCAGGCACCUCUGUGGCCAGCCUGAGGGACCCAGCAACAGCAGAAAACAUCAUCACUAUCUGCUAAGAGAGACAUUGGACAUGGAUUUUAAAGAAGACAGAUUCUUGUCUUUAUGCUGAUGAGGGCAAUGGUUUUGUCGUAUAAAAUAACACCAAGAGGCCAUCUUGUAAUGGAGGGAGAAAGAAAGGACGUCUGUCCAGUGGCAUUCUAACAGGGGCAGCGAGAGAACAUGUUGUGUGGGAAGAAAAAAAAGAACAGAAUGUUUACUAACCAGAUAAUUGGCAGGUAGCAGACAUCAGACAUGUUCUUGUUCUUUUAUUUUCCCACCCGAUUGAAUUUAGCCAGUAGCAUGGCUUGCUUUAACAAAUAAAAUGCAGCCGGUA